rnacentral:ncRNA from 1 species
UUUAUGGAGAGUUUGAUCCUGGCUCAGGACGAACGCUGGCGGCGUGCCUAAUACAUGCAAGUCGAGCGAACUCAAUUAAAGCUUGCUUUAUGAGAGUUAGCGGCGGACGGGUGAGUAACACGUGGGCAACCUGCCCUGUAGACUGGGAUAACUUCGGGAAACCGAAGCUAAUACCGGAUAAUCUUUGGAGCCUCAUGGUUCUAAAGUGAAAGUUGGGUUUACCUAA